UACGUAGGGUGCGAGCGUUGUCCGGAUUUAUUGGGCGUAAAGAGCUUGUAGGCGGCUCGUCGCGUCGGGUGUGAAAACUUGCGGCUUAACCGCAAGCCUGCACCCGAUACGGGCGGGCUAGAGUUCGGCAGGGGAGACUGGAAUUCCUGGUGUAGCGGUGGAAUGCGCAGAUAUCAGGAGGAACACCGAUGGCGAAGGCAGGUCUCUGGGCAGUAACUGACGCUGAGGAGCGAAAGCGUGGGGAGCGAACAGG
rnacentral:rRNA from 1 species